CUCAAUCUUGCGCGCGCGCUGUAUCUAAAAUAAAAGAAAAACUUUCCAAACUAAACAUGAAACUUCUCCGGUAACAUAAUAAUAUAGACCCUUUACAAAAACAAACAAACAAACAAAUACCCCCCCCCCUUUUUUUUCCAAAUCAAUCAAUAAAAAAAUCAAUUAUCCAUUCAUCAGAGGGGAAAGACUGCCUAACAAUUGUUUUCAAAACAAUUGCUUUAUAUUUAUUAUUAAGUCUUUCCACUUUUCUGUGGAAAGACUUAUUGUUUUUGUUCUGAUUAUUAUUAUUAUUAUUAUUAUUAUUAUUAUUUUUUUUUUUUUUUCUUCCGCCAAAUUUUGUUCUUGCGAUAAAUGUUUGUUUCGCAAUAUGUCGCUUAGAUAUUUCUCAUAUUGUAUCGUAUAGUUUAUGCGCUUUUAAAUUUCACCCUGCUAAGACGAACCAUUUUCUCUGUAAGAGUUAUCUCCCUAUUCACUGUUUAUCAUGUGUGUGCAUCUCCUUCGUAACAAAAAAAGAUAGCGACAAAAUUCUUUUUACAAAUUGUUCGUUACAUCCUCAGAAAAUUUUGGCUAAUUUGGAUCGAAGCGAUUCGAUGAAAUUUUAUAGGAGUUAUCUAUCUUUACGGAAUAAAUUUGUCGGUAUGUUUUUUUAACUCAUAAACCGUUAACCGUAU
rnacentral:lncRNA from 1 species